rnacentral:rRNA from 1 species
CUACGGAGGUUGCAAACGUUGUUCGGAAUUACUGGGCGUAAAGCACGCGUAGGCGGUUUGUUAAGUCAGAUGUGGAAGGCCACAGCUCAACUGUGGAAGUGCAUUUGAAACUGGCAGACUUGAGUACUGGGGGGGGUGGUGGAAUUCCCGGUGUAGAGGUGAAAUUCGUAGAUAUCGGGAGGAAUACCGGUGGCGAAGGCGACCACCUGGCCAGAUACUGACGCUGAGGUGCGAAAGCGUGGGGAGCAAACAGGAUUAGAAACCCCAGUAGUCC